AUUGAACGCUGGCGGCAGGCCUAACACAUGCAAGUCGAGCGAGCGGCGGCCGGGUGAGUAUUGUAUGGGGACUGCCCGAUAGAGGGGGAUAACAACUGGAAACGGUGGCUAAUACCCCAUACUGUCUGCUCACCCCUAUGGGAUUAGCUAGUAGGUAAGGUAAUGGCUUACCUAGGCGACGAUCCCUAGCUGGUCUGAGAGGAUGAUCAGCCACACUGGGACUGAGACACGGCCCAGACUCCUACGGAGGCAGCAGUGGGGAAUAUUGCACAAUGGGCGCAAGCCUGAUGCAGCCAUGCCGCGUGUAUGAAGAAGGCCCUAGGGUUGUAAAGUACUUUCAGUCGGGAGGCGUUACCGACAGAAGAAGCACCGGCUAACUCCGUGCCAGCAGCCGCGGUAAUUC
rnacentral:rRNA from 1 species